GGAAGUAAAAGUCGUAACAAGGUUUCCGUAGGUGAACCUGCGGAAGGAUCAUUACAAAAGCCCCGCCGGCGCCCUCGGUAGUACCCGGGCUGGCCCGGCUGGGGGGGGGCGGCGCCCUUUCGCGGCCCCCGAAAACCCACUCCCCGCGUACAUAUCCCUGUUGCUUCCCCGGGAAGGCGCUAGCAGCCGCCCGGGGGAGGGCCCGCCCAGAGCACACGAUGCCGACCAACGCACCCGUCCACCCCCCCCUCCCACCUGUCUGAAGGCCACCGUGGCCACGGAGGAGUAGGAGCGAGCGAGCGACGAGACUAACGCAAAAAAACUUUCAACAACGGAUCUCUUGGUUCCCGCAUCGAUGAAGAACGCAGCGAAAUGCGAUAAGUAAUGUGAAUUGCAGAAUUCAGUGAAUCAUCGAAUCUUUGAACGCACAUUGCGCCCCCUGGCAUUCCGGGGGGCAUGCCUGUUCGAGCGUCUCCGGGACGAGCACUCACGCAAAGGUAACGCGUGGUGGUGGCGGCGGUGGCGGACCCGACAGGGAGCCCACCCCGGCGGAAUCGAUGGGCGGACGGCCGCCGCGUCGCAGAGCGUGAUAUUUUUGCUAUCGCCUCGAGCGCGGAGAGGCUGCCAGCCCUCGCCAUACGCCUGCUGUGUCGCUGAGCGUGAUGCUUUGCCAUCGCCUCGGGCACGGCAUGGCUGGGAACAUGACAUUGGAACUCCCUCGAAUCCA
rnacentral:rRNA from 1 species